rnacentral:rRNA from 1 species
GAUGAACGCUGGCGGCGUGCCUAAUACAUGCAAGUCGAGCGAACAGACGAGGAGCUUGCUCCUCUGACGUUAGCGGCGGACGGGUGAGUAACACGUGGAUAACCUACCUAUAAGACUGGGCUAACUUCGGGAAUCCGGAGCUAAUUCCGGAUAAUAUAUUGAACCGCAUGGUUCAAUAGUGAAAUACGGUUUUUCUGUCACUUAUAGAUUGAUCCGCGCCGCAUUAGCUAGUUGGUAAGGUAACUGCUUACCAAGGCAACGAUGAGUAGCCGACCUGAGAGGGGGAUCGGCCAAACUGGAACGGAGACACGGACCAGACUACUACGGGAGGCAGAAGUAGGGAAUCUGCCGCAAUGGGCGAAAGCAUGACGGAGCAACGCCGCGUGAGUGAUGAAGGUCUUCGGAUCGUAAAACUCUGUUAUUAGGGAAGAAAAAAUGUGUAAGUAAAUAUGCACGUCUUGACGGUACCUAAUCAGAAAGCCACGGCUAACUACGUG